rnacentral:lncRNA from 1 species
UUGACUGGGAUCGCACAAGCCGGCGGCUCCCGGGGAGCUCCCCAGAGGGGCGCGGUGUGCCCGGGAGCGGUCACCGGGCACGAGAGUGGCGUUCGCGGGGACGGACCCGGCAGCGCCCGGCCCGGGUCACAGCGGGGGGGGCAGGGCCCGGCCCCCGGCCCCGGCGCCCCCCGGGCGGGGCCUCAGCAGGCCGCACCAGGCCCCGGUAGGCCGCAGGCCCCGCGCCCGUUGCCAUGGCAACGCGCCUCGCCCAGGUGCGGGGCCCCCCGGGAGGGGCCGCUCAGCAUCACGGGACAGCGAGUCCGCAACCGCCUCGCCUUCAUCCCCGCGCCGCGGCAGCGGACUACAACUCCCACAACCCCCUGGGGGCAGCGCAGCCCCCUCCCCUUCCUCUCCGCCCCUCGCUCCCAUUGGCUCCGCCGCGACGCCGAGCGGCCGCACGGCGCCCUCCGAUUGGCGGCAGCGCGGCGGGGCCGAGGCGCUGCCUAUGGCGGCCGGGCGGGCGGUGGGGGGGGGAGCGCGGCCGCCAUUUUGUGUGCGCGGAGGCCGGCGCCGGGUCCUCGGUGCCCGCCGCGGCGGGGCCGAUGGACCAAAAGCUGCCAGCUUUUUGGAAGGCUGUUGGGCACUGGCCUCAUCAGUGAGCGCUGUAAAAACUCUUCCUUGUACUGGGUUAACUCCCUGUUACACAGCUUCUCCUUUAAAAAGAAAUACUGCUUAUAUUGCAGUACAACACGAUCGUUGGGAUAUCCAGAACAGCUGUGUAAGUACUGCUGUAGCUUAAAGCUACAGAAAUUCAAUGAAACUGGUGCAAGGGAAGCCUUGGGCAGGGUAACGCUGUGUUGCUGGCACUGUACCCAUGUGUGGUAAACUGUGAGACGUCAAGCAGCAGGGCUUAAUGGGCAGCUUAAGGCAGAUUGCAGCACUACAGGUGAUCCCAAAGUCAAGCCGGAAUGAAAAAGGCGAGGACCGGCCUUUGGGCAGCAGGGGAACGGCGGCGGGGAAUCGUCCCUCCCUUCGCUGCGGGCCGGUGCUGGAGGAAGGUUGCUCAGCACCUCCUCUUCUGCUGGUGUUACAGGGCAGGAUCUGGGUUUCGCUUCGCAUGAACGUUGGCUGUUGCAUGGUGAGCACGCUGUUGGGUCGGACUGCUUCCUUUUUUGUCUUCUUGCAGCGUUUUCAGGGAACUGGUCUGCUGUCACACUGAAGAACGGCUGUGACUGAAGGUGGGAUAUUUCAGUCCCCUUCUGUGGUUGUGCCUUAGCGCAAUAAUUUCUGCCUGUUCCAGCUGGGGUGGGGAGAACCACAGGCCUUUCCUCAGCGAGUUGGAAAACCCUCGCGAGGGAGGAACGGUGAAAGACCUUUAGCCAAGAGGUCCUUGCACGGCCGCGUUUCUGAGGUUCUGCAGCGCUGACGAACCGCCCCGCAGCUGGCACAGCAGCAGCAGGCGGGGCAGCAGUGAGCCCCAGAGCCGUGACGGGCAGGAGCCCCAGCAUGGCAGGUUUCUGCCGCCACCAGCUCCGCGCCGACGUGCAGCCCAUUAGGAGCGAUGUAAGUGAAGCUGCGGAGGCAGCAACAUUCCUGGGCAGCACAGCUCACUGCUUGAGCAGCACACUUGAUCUCAGCUCACCCAAGGAGCCGGAAUAAAGGCCAGCUGGCUCCUGCAGCCCAGGAAGGACCAAGCGGUGGUAGCAAGAGGAGGGAUAUACUUCAAAGCUUUGGCAAACGCGGCUGCUUCGCCCUCCAGGGAGGUGCUUGCCCUCGACUAGUUAAGACAGCACUGCCUUAUUGUCAGGAGGGACUAAUUGCUGCCCUUUGAUACCACAUCACUGCCAGUGCUGCAGCACGAUUAGCUUUGCCGAGCUCUAAGAUUUUAUUUGUUCCUCUCAAACAAUCUUGUCACCUCCGCACCGGCUCCGAGCUCUCCCCUGGGCCAGGGCAGCUGGUGGAAGUGGGACGAGCUCCCGUCCGUCACCGGUCCGCAGGGAGGCUUCAGAGGCCCCCAGGUGCAGUAGUUCUGUGUCUGCUGCGAGGGACAAAUGCAGGAGCUGGAGCAAGCCCCUGUAAGGAGGCACGCUGCUCCAAACGCCUUCUGAAAUGGGGAUCUGCCUGAUACAUGUUAAGACAUCAUUAAACCAGAACACAGCAUGGCUGUAGAAUCAGAGUCGAUCCCUGCGGUGGGAGCAGUGGUGCUGCGGGCGCGGGGGCACUCCCCUCACUUUCCUAAGUCCCAUCAGGUAAAGUAUUUGCAGGUUGGACAAAAACUUGUUCCUCUGCAUGAAACGUAACAAAAGUUGGGGGUAAGUGGAUGGAGGGCAGAGGGUCUGGGUUCCUGAACUUCAAUGCAGAUGUCACCUUGUAACUGUUGCUGCUACAUGUGACUAACGCCGUUUCCUUGUGCUAAGUUUUUCACCUUAGCCAGGUGCUCAGCUCCGUGCUGGGGCAGUUUGGUGCUGCCUCCAAGCGCGAUGCCUCCUGCCGGACUCGGUGCUGUCGGGCACUGCCCUGCCCCAGAAGAACACGGGACUGCCCCUCACAGCACAAUUACUGAGAGGAUAAAAUCUUAUCUGGACAACUCCAGGUGCUGGACAGAAGAGCCCGGGAUGAAGGACGGGGGCUCACCAGCUGCUGUUUCUCUUCCCGAGUGAUGGAUCUCUUCCUAAUGAGCAGGAUCCUGAUUAACUCAUUGCCUCUCACAGCACCUCACCCUGGUCUGACUCCAGGAGUGGUGGCGGAGCCUUGCGAGCGCCCGGCUCCCUCCCGCAGCCAGCGCUGCUGCACCGGUGCUGGCUCUGCCCAAUGAUGUCAUAGCAGAGGGAAGGGAAAAAAGGCGACUGCGAGGCUCCUGAGCAAGUAAACCUCC